CACGUAGGCGGCUUUUUAAGUCGGGGGUGAAAUCCUGGAGCUCAACUCCAGAACUGCCUUCGAUACUGAGAAGCUCGAGUCCGGGAGAGGUGAGUGGAACUGCGAGUGUAGAGGUGAAAUUCGUAGAUAUUCGCAAGAACACCAGUGGCGAAGGCGGCUCACUGGCCCGGUACUGAUGCUGAGGUGCGAAAGCGUGGGGAGCAAACA
rnacentral:rRNA from 1 species